CCUACGGGUGGCAGCAGUGAGGAAUAUUGGUCAAUGGGAGAGAUCCUGAACCAGCCAAGCCGCGUGAGGGAAGACGGCCCUAUGGGUUGUAAACCUCUUUUGUCGGAGAACAAAACCCGGGACGUGUCCCGGACUGCGUGUAUCCGAAGCAAAAGCAUCGGCUAACUCCGUGCCAGCCGCCGCGUUAAUACGGGGGAUGCGAGCGUUAUCCGGAUUUAUUGGGUUUAAAGGGUGCGUGGGCGGUCCGUUAAGUCAGCGGGAAAAUUGCGGGGCUCAACCCCGUCGAGCCGUUGAAACUGGCAGACUUGAGUUGGCUAGAAGUACGCGGAAUGCGCGGUGUAGCGGUGAAAUGCAUAGAUAUCGCGAAGAACUCCGAUUGCGAAGGCAGCGUACCGGCGCCAGACUGACGCUGAGGCACGAAAGCGUGGGGAUCGAACAGGAUUAGAUACCCUGGUAGUC
rnacentral:rRNA from 1 species